UACGGAGGGAGCUAGCGUUGUUCGGAAUUACUGGGCGUAAAGCGCACGUAGGCGGCUUUGCAAGUUAGAGGUGAAAGCCCAGGGCUCAACCCUGGAAUUGCCUUUAAAACUGCAUCGCUAGAAUUGUGGAGAGGUAAGUGGAAUUCCGAGUGUAGAGGUGAAAUUCGUAGAUAUUCGGAAGAACACCAGUGGCGAAGGCGACUUACUGGACACAUAUCGACGCUGAGGUGCGAAAGCGUGGGGAGCAAACAGG
rnacentral:rRNA from 1 species